UGUAGGCGGAUUAUUAAGUCAGAAGUGAAAGCCCUGGGCUCAACCCAGGAAGUGCUUUUGAUACUGAUGAUCUUGAGUGUGGGAGAGGAUAGUAGAAUUCCUGGUGUAGUGGUGAAAUACGUAGAUAUCAGGAGGAACACCGGUGGGGAAGCCGGCUGUCUGGCCCAACACUGACGCUCAGACCCGAAAGCGUGGGUAGCAAACA
rnacentral:rRNA from 1 species